rnacentral:lncRNA from 1 species
UUGGGCAGUAGAAGAAGCGGAAUAAAAGAUAUAUAGAAAUGAACAAGACAAGAGAAUUAGAGCAACAGUAGUUACUAAUAACAGCAUAAUCUCAAACAAACAGACCUAAUUAAUAUAUAAUUGGAUCGAAUUAGGCAGCCUUCAUAUCAUAAGCACUUAUAGAAGUAAUAUAUAUUGAAAUCCUGGCCAAAUUAAUGUCACCAAAAGCAGCAGCCACAAGUUAUAGAGAUGACGUGGAGCAGGUGAGUAAUAUGCAUAUGCAUCUGUUUGGUACUGAUACACAUCCCCUGGCAGACCUGUCACGUAAACAAACCUUGGAGGAGGUGGCGGUACAUAUGGGUUUGGCGUGACAUAUGGGUUUGGCGGGCAAUCUUGAGUUGUUGUUGUUGGAGCCUUUGGAGGAGGAGGAGGAGGAGGAGGACAAGGAGGCGGCGGUGGCGGAGGUGGAAGCACCUGCUGCUGCUCACAUGGGUUCACACAAGGGCAUGAUCCGCAUUUUAUUCCCGUAUGAACUUCUUGUUUCUGAGAUAUCAGUGUUUGUUGAUGAUGAUCAUUUUGGUUUUCAUGAUCAGAAGUGGUCAUGACACUCUUUGAAGACCAAAUCAAAAGCAUGAUGAAAAGAAGUGUUUGAUGUGGAUGCAAUGCCAUUAACUUCCGGAAAGAUUGAGUGAAAAUACAGCUGGGGUUUGAGAGAGAGAGAAUAGUUUUGGUUGGGGGGGUUGGGAGGGGAAGGGAAGGAAUGUGAGGGCUGUAGUUUGAGAGAGAGAGAGAAAGAGAGAGAGAAGUGGGUAGGGAAAGGAAUGUGUGUGAAUUUGUUUAGGGGGUACUUGUGUAUGUGCUUGUGGCUU